GAGACACCUAUAUAUAGCUACAUGUAUCAAUUAGAAAAUGAACAAAGAUGAAAGGCUUAUAAGAGGUAACUGCAUGGCCUUCAACAAUGAGUUAACCCAUACCCUAUAGUCUGCUAUACCAGGCUCUGACAUGAAAAGUGAGACACGAUGUAUGUCAUUUUUAAUCAAAUCUCGUAUUUAUGUUCUACGACACAAAGUAGUAUUGGUACACUUUCAUUCUUUUAAAACGUGAAUAUUUAAGAAAUUGUUGGGUACAUGUAUAUGUGAAUGAGACAGUAACCAAACAACAAAAAUUACCAAAAGACAUCCUUGAACAAGACAGUUGUCAAACAAUAUGUUGCGCUCAUGAUUGGUCCAAGUCUAGUAAAAUGUUGAUAAAAUUUAUAGAACUAUUUGAAUACUGCUUCUAGAAUCGGUCAAUGCAGGUAUAAUGUUCCUAAUACUUUUCUCUGAAUAGCAGGUUCAAUACACCAUCUUAUGGCUAAGUGACUGAAAUAUAAAAUUUAUGGAAAGCAGGUUUUUAUUGUUCAAUGAGCCUUAUACGAGUACAAGUACAUGUUGGGUAUUUUUCAUCAAUAUAAAAGAUGUGGUAUGAUUGCCAAGGAGACGACUCUUCACAAGAUACCAAAUGACCCAAAUUUAACUAAAGGUCAUAUUAUGGCCUUCAACAAUUAGCAAAGCCUAUCAUCUUAUAAUUAACUCAAAAACCCAGGAGUUUGAAUCCAGUCAUCCUGGUGUAGUGGUAUAAAUGGUGGCUUCAUAUGUUCAAGGUCCAGAGUUUAUCUCCCUGCAUAGACACUGGAAAUGUAAUGGAUUUUUUUACAUUUAAUAGUUUUGAAAGAUGGUCUAUAUUUCGCUUAAUAUUUCCAAGUUUGAUAGUGUGUUUGCCAUUCCGAAACAAAUGGUUCCACAACCAAAGAAAGCAUGCAGAAAAAAGAAACUUGAGGUCAGGUGAUCUGACUCGUAUCACCCCCAAUUAGAACAUAGUUGGUAUCUAAGGUCCUUUUUUCAGGGUUCACCAGACCUUGACCUCAUUUCAGGGAUCUGUUUGUCAGUCAAAUUCAUUUCGUCAAAAUUAUAAGCUAUAGGAUCCAAGACUGGUUUGGUGUGGAGUAAUUGUUAGUUUUACAUGACAUAGUUCAUUGGUUCAGUUCAUGUCUCGCAUAUUAUAAGCAAUCGGUAAACUAUUUCUUGCACAGAAUGAUUAAGGUGCUAGAGUUUUGUUUUGACCUCUUUGUUUAUUGGUUCUAUUGUCAAAUGUUGUUUUUGUGGGUGUUUCUUUUACACCUAACUAAGCAAUGGAUCAACAACAUGAUAUAAUGUAAGGUGUACAAGUUUGUCUUGUCUGGCAGACUGUCUGACCAUGACCUAAUUUUAAUGGCCAAUGUGAUACUUGUAGUAGAACAUUGAUAUCUUUAAUUACAAAGAAGAUGUAGUAUGAUUGCCAAUGAGCCAAACUCUCCACAAAAGACCAAAUGACACAGAAAUUAACAGAACUAUAGGUCCCUGUCUUCAUCAAUGAGCAAAGCCCAUACCUGAGAGUCCGCUAUAAAAGGCCCUGAAAUGACAUGUAAAACAAUUCAAACAAGAAAACCAAUGACCCAAUAUAUGUAAAAAAAAAAAUUUUAUCUAUAAAUUCAUUCAAUCAUAAUUAGUAAAGUCUGUGGAAUAUUUCAGUGUGUGCACCCUUACCUGAACAUGUGUCUGUGUUAGAAUUUGAAUCUGGUGCAGAAAAUAGGUACUGUUAUUUUAUUGUUCUUAUCAGAGACUUGCAUCUUUUCAUAUUAAAAUUCUGUUUUAUGUAAAUUUUGUUCUGGUUCAUGUUAUCUUAUGAAAUAUUACACGACUAAAAUUUUGUCAAAAUGUCUUGGAAAGAAUUAAAAAAUCAAUGGGAAUAUGUCAAUGAGACAUGUAAAUUGAAAGAGGAGUAGAUAUGUAGAUAACAUAAAUGAGACAAUGUACAAUAAACAGCAUGAGGGAGCCUAAUCCUAAUUGUUGGCAAUAAAACUUAACAAUUGGUAGACAAGACUUAUAAUUUAGUGACCACCAAUUUUAACCACUUGGUGUGUCAUACAUCACAAAGUUCUUGUUGAUUUUGUUUUGCUGUAGGACAAUGCUUGUCAAGUGAAAUAGCUGGUCAACAAUAGUUUUAACUUGCAUUGAAGGUGAUUUAAAAUUUGAGGAGGUAAUUCUGCUACACAGCACUUCCAAUCUAAAAGGCAGCACAGUCUUUAAUGCUAAACAUGUGUCUAUACAAAAAUGUCAAGAUCUAUAGAGCAACACUUAGUCUUCAAUGCUUAAAAUGUACCUUUACAAAAUGUCCAGAUCUAAAGAGCAACACACAGUCUCCAAUGCUUAAAAUGUACCUAUACAAAAUGUCCAGAUCUAAAGAGCAACACUCAGUCUUCAAUGCUUAAAAUGUACCUAUACAAAAUGUCCAGAUCUAAAGAGCAACACACAGUCUCCAAUGCUUAAAAUGUACCUUUACAAAAUGUCUAGAUCUAAAGAGCAACACACAGUCUCCAAUGCUUAAAAUGUACCUUUACAAAAUGUCCAGAUCUAAAGAGCAACACACAGUCUCCAAUGCUUAAAAUGUACCUUUACAAAAUGUCAAGAUCUAAAGGGCAACACAGUUUUCAAUGCUAAACAUGUGUCUAUACAAAAUAAUCAGAUCUAAAGGGCAACAGUCUUGAAUGCUUAAAAUGUUCCUAUACAAAAUGUUGAGAUCUAAAGGGCAACACACAGUCUUCAAUACUUAACAUGUGUCGAUACAAAAUGUCAAGAUCUAAUGAGCAACACAGAGUCUUCAAUGCUAAACAUGUGUCUAUACAAAAUGUUCAGAUCUAAAGGGCAACACACAGUCUUCAAUACUAAACAUGUGUCUAUACGUAAUGUCCAGAUCUAAAGGGCAAC
rnacentral:lncRNA from 1 species